rnacentral:rRNA from 1 species
AUUGAACGCUGGCGGCAGGCUUAACACAUGCAAGUCGAGCGGGGUGAUGGUGCUUGCACUAUCACUUAGCGGCGGACGGGUGAGUAAUGCUUAGGAAUCUGCCUAUUAGUGGGGGACAACAUCUCGAAAGGGAUGCUAAUACCGCAUACGUCCUACGGGAGAAAGCAGGGGAUCACUUGUGACCUUGCGCUAAUAGAUGAGCCUAAGUCGGAUUAGCUAGUUGGUGGGGUAAAGGCCUACCAAGGCGACGAUCUGUAGCGGGUCUGAGAGGAUGAUACGCCACACUGGGACUGAGACACGGCCCAGACUCCUACGGGAGGCAGCAGUGGGGAAUAUUGGACAAUGGGGGGAACCGUGAGCCAGCCAUGCCGCGUGUGUGAAGAAGGCCUUAUGGUUGUAAAGCACUUUAAGCGAGGAGGAGGCUCUUUUGGUUAAUACCCAAGAUGAGUGGACGUUACUCGCAGAAUAAGCACCGGCUAACUCUGUGCCAGCCGCCGCGGUAA